GCGGACGUGGUGGAAUGGUAUACACGCUAGCCCAAGGAGCUAGUCCCGCAAGGGGUGGAGGUUCGAGUCCUCUCGUCCGCA
rnacentral:tRNA from 1 species